GACGAACGCUGGCGGCGUGCUUAACACAUGCAAGUCGAACGGAAAGGCCCUGCUUUUGUGGGGUGCUCGAGUGGCGAACGGGUGAGUAACACGUGAGUAACCUGCCCUUGACUUUGGGAUAACUUCAGGAAACUGGGGCUAAUACCGGAUAGGAGCUCCUGCUGCAUGGUGGGGGUUGGAAAGUUUCGGCGGUUGGGGAUGGACUCGCGGCUUAUCAGCUUGUUGGUGGGGUAGUGGCUUACCAAGGCUUUGACGGGUAGCCGGCCUGAGAGGGUGACCGGCCACAUUGGGACUGAGAUACGGCCCAGACUCCUACGGGAGGCAGCAGUGGGGAAUAUUGCACAAUGGGCGGAAGCCUGAUGCAGAAACGCCGCGUGCGGGAUGACGGCCUUCGGGUUGUAAACCGCUUUCGCCCGUGACGAAGCGUGAGUGACGGUAAUGGGUAAAGAAGCACCGGCUAACUACGUG
rnacentral:rRNA from 1 species